rfam:Myotis lucifugus cont2.105, whole genome shotgun sequence.
GGUGGUUCUCAGGUGAUGCAUCCCAGAAUCGGACUCCCACCUCUCUGGUUCCGGGCUGUGUCACCUGAGAACUGCU